rnacentral:rRNA from 1 species
AGAGUUUGAUCCUGGCUCAGGACGAACGCUGGCGGCGUGCCUAAUACAUGCAAGUCGAACGAACUCUGGUAUUGAUUGGUGCUUGCAUCAUGAUUUACAUUUGAGUGAGUGGCGAACUGGUGAGUAACACGUGGGAAACCUGCCCAGAAGCGGGGGAUAACACCUGGAAACAGAUGCUAAUACCGCAUAACAACUUGGACCGCAUGGUCCGAGCUUGAAAGAUGGCUUCGGCUAUCACUUUUGGAUGGUCCCGCGGCGUAUUAGCUAGAUGGUGGGGUAACGGCUCACCAUGGCAAUGAUACGUAGCCGACCUGAGAGGGUAAUCGGCCACAUUGGGACUGAGACACGGCCCAAACUCCUACGGGAGGCAGCAGUAGGGAAUCUUCCACAAUGGACGAAAGUCUGAUGGAGCAACGCCGCGUGAGUGAAGAAGGGUUUCGGCUCGUAAAACUCUGUUGUUAAAGAAGAACAUAUCUGAGAGUAACUGUUCAGGUAUUGACGGUAUUUAACCAGAAAGCCACGGCUAACUACGUGCCAGCAGCCGCGGUAAUACGUAGGUGGCAAGCGUUGUCCGGAUUUAUUGGGCGUAAAGCGAGCGCAGGCGGUUUUUUAAGUCUGAUGUGAAAGCCUUCGGCUCAACCGAAGAAGUGCAUCGGAAACUGGGAAACUUGAGUGCAGAAGAGGACAGUGGAACUCCAUGUGUAGCGGUGAAAUGCGUAGAUAUAUGGAAGAACACCAGUGGCGAAGGCGGCUGUCUGGUCUGUAACUGACGCUGAGGCUCGAAAGUAUGGGUAGCAAACAGGAUUAGAUACCCUGGUAGUCCAUACUGUAAACGAUGAAUGCUAAGUGUUGGAGGGUUUCCGCCCUUCAGUGCUGCAGCUAACGCAUUAAGCAUUCCGCCUGGGGAGUACGGCCGCAAGGCUGAAACUCAAAGGAAUUGACGGGGGCCCGCACAAGCGGUGGAGCAUGUGGUUUAAUUCGAAGCUACGCGAAGAACCUUACCAGGUCUUGACAUACUAUGCAAAUCUAAGAGAUUAGACGUUCCCUUCGGGGACAUGGAUACAGGUGGUGCAUGGUUGUCGUCAGCUCGUGUCGUGAGAUGUUGGGUUAAGUCCCGCAACGAGCGCAACCCUUAUUAUCAGUUGCCAGCAUUAAGUUGGGCACUCUGGUGAGACUGCCGGUGACAAACCGGAGGAAGGUGGGGAUGACGUCAAAUCAUCAUGCCCCUUAUGACCUGGGCUACACACGUGCUACAAUGGAUGGUACAACGAGUUGCGAACUCGCGAGAGUAAGCUAAUCUCUUAAAGCCAUUCUCAGUUCGGAUUGUAGGCUGCAACUCGCCUACAUGAAGUCGGAAUCGCUAGUAAUCGCGGAUCAGCAUGCCGCGGUGAAUACGUUCCCGGGCCUUGUACACACCGCCCGUCACACCAUGAGAGUUUGUAACACCCAAAGUCGGUGGGGUAACCUUUUAGGAACCAGCCGCCUAAGGUGGGACAGAUGAUUAGGGUGAAGUCGUAACAAGGUAGCCGUAGGAGAACCUGCGGCUG